rnacentral:rRNA from 1 species
AAGACCUUGCGCUUUUGGAGCGGCCGAUGUCUGAUUAGCUUGUUGGUGAGGUAAAGGCUUACCAAGGCUUCGAUCCGUAGCUGGUCUGAGAGGACGGCCAGCCACACUGGGACUGAGACACGGCCCAGACUCCUACGGGAGGCAGCAGUGGGGAAUUUUGGACAAUGGGGGCAACCCUGAUCCAGCCAUGCCGCGUGAGUGAAGAAGGCCUUCGGGUUGUAAAGCUCUUUCAGCCGGAACGAAACGGUUACGGUUAAUACCCGUGACUACUGACGGUACCGGAAGAAGAAGCACCGGCUAACUACGUGCCAGCAGCCGCGGUAAUACGUAGGGUGCAAGCGUUAAUCGGAAUUACUGGGCGUAAAGCGUGCGCAGGUGGUUUUGUAAGUCAGAUGUGAAAUCCCCGGGCUUAACCUGGGAACU